AGCAAAAUGAAUGCACCGUUUCUCUUUCUCCAUUAAUCAGAGUGUGCAGCUUGCAAAGAAUCAGCUCCUCCUCCAAUUUCAAAUGCCAAUGAGAGUGUGUGCAGCUUGCUCCCCUUCCAGCCCUUCAAAAGUGUGUGCGUCGGCUCUCCAAAUUAAUCUACGUCCCAUGCCAUUCUCCCUUCUCAAUGAAAAUAAAACAACUAAAAUGUUCAAAGACCAGCUCCAGAAACGUUCCAGCACCAAGAAUGUUCCAGCCCCUAAAACUCUCAAAAAGAAAAUGAUGGCAGCCUCCUAUUUUCCUAGGAUCAUGUGUCCUCCAAUUGGGGUGGGGUACACCCUAAAAUCCUAGGUGCCAUGUGUUCAUUUUUAUAAUUGGGCUUAAGCUAUUCUACCAAAAUUAGCCCACAAUGCAAAAAGUUUGUCUAAAAACUUUAAACAAUUAAAUUUACAAUGUAACUAAAUUUAAAAUGACUAAAUUGGGAGUCUUGAAUUAUUUUGUCUCCUCUCAAUGCUCCAAAAUAUAUCUCCAAAAUUUUCCCUGCAAUUAAAAAUGCAAUUAAUUAGCUCAGAAAAUUCAAAUUAACUAAAAUAAGAAUUUCCGAUCAAAUUAAGCAUAAUUAGGAAAAAUGGGAAAAUACCGAACAUUUAAGCACAAUUCCCUGAUUAAUUCUAGCACAAUAAACUAAGUGAA
rnacentral:lncRNA from 1 species